CCUACGGGUGGCAGCAGUGAGGAAUAUUGGUCAAUGGGCGGGAGCCUGAACCAGCCAAGUCGCGUGAGGGAAGAAGGUACUGAGUAUUGUAAACCUCUUUUGCCAGGGGACAAAGGCGGCCACGGGUGGCCGUAAGAGGGUACCUGGAGAAAAAGCAUCGGCUAACUCCGUGCCAGCAGCCGCGGUAAUACGGGGGAUGCAAGCGUUAUCCGGAUUUAUUGGGUUUAAAGGGUGCGUAGGCUGUGAGGUAAGUCAGCGGUGAAAUGCCCCCGCUCAACGGGGUGAAGUGCCAUUGAUACUGCCUUGCUGGAAUGCGGAUGCCGUGGGAGGAAUGUGUGGUGUAGCGGUGAAAUGCAUAGAUAUCACACAGAACACCGAUUGCGAAGGCAUCUCACGAAUCCGCGAUUGACGCUGAUGCACGAAAGCGUGGGUAUCAAACAGGAUUAGAUACCCGUGUAGUC
rnacentral:rRNA from 1 species